GGAGCCGCGGGCGGGGGAGGCUGCCACGUUUUCCGAGCCGGGGGUCCUCGGCCCCGAGGGCGAGGGCGACAGGUCCACGUUGUGGUAGCGCGCGCGGCAGGGUCAGCGGGGGGCGCCCCCCCGAGGGCGGAGGUCUGCGGCGCUGGGCGUGCUGGGAUCACGGAAACGGGUCGCCGAGCGCCUCCGGGGGGAGGCGGAGCCGUCACGCCAGCUCGGGAAACGCCGCGGCCCGCCCAGGGAGCCCACCGACCCCGAGGUCGCAAACCCGAGUCCGCCGGGGUUGCUCAUCCUGGGCACCGAUGACGUGGGUGGGCGGGCCCCGGCCGCAGGCGCCGUCCUGCGCAUUUUAGGGUACUCCGCAUCCUGGGGCUCUACCCGUUCAACGCCGGUGGCGCUCUCCGGUCAGGUCAGCCAGAAAUGUCUAGUCAUCGCCAGACGUCCCCUGGCCGGCAGGGCGGCCCCGGUGGAGAACCCUGCUGGCGCGGAGGGUGCUGAGAAACGGAAACCCUCAUUCUCUGAACAAAGCAUUUCACAAGAGAGGAAACUGAGGCCCAAGGUCACCCAGAGUUCUAGGUCAAACCCAGAAUUGUUCAAUGUCAAGUCUAAGUGGAGUCUCCUUCCCCACCCCCACCUCGCUGCCUGGAAGCCCCGAUACUGUUAUGGGGCUAGAAGGCAGGCUGAGUGGGUUAUUAGCCGCAGCCUCCCGAGAGAGAACUUUUUGUUGUUGUUGUUACAGGAAGACCUAGAUUUAAAACAGGAGAGAGGCAGCUGAUGAGAACCACACGCGCGCCUCGGAUCUGUGCUACACCUGUUAGUCUUGCAUUUGUCAUGCUUCUGGGAAGCAUUUUUAUUUGCAAAAACGGCUGUUUCUGCACGUGGUUGUGGCUGCUUCCUUCUGCACAUGUGAAAAGUUUUACAUCACACUUGUAGAAGAAAAUAAACACGGGCAAAAUACUUCCUUUAAUUUCCUCUCCCUCGUAGAAAUGAGGUGAUUUGUGUACAUGGUCCAGGUUGGAAACCAGCCCAUUUGGAGAUACUCUUUAUCUCACUUAAGAUAAGCAAAAUCAACAAGCUCUUCCCCCAAGCAUAUUCUGGUUCUGCCUUUCUUUUAAUUUCUAACUCAGACGUACAAGAUCUUAUUUUUUUUUAAUCAAGGGUCACAUAGAAGCAAUUUGUUCUGCAUGGGUCAUGUUAUUUAAGAAAAAUGUGGAAAGCACUCAACUUACCUGCUUUUUUUAAACAUUAAGAUGACUGAGUUCUGCAUGGCCAGCUCUAAACACACACCAAGACAUAGGUAUACAGUUCAGCUCCACAGAUGUGGCAUAUAGAGGGGCUCCAUAAAUAUUUAACAAAUGAAUGCAAUAUUAAAUACUGUACACAUUAGGAUGCACAGACACACAUAUAUGUAUAUAGUUUUAUUCCACAUUGAACAUAGAUGUAGUGGUUAAAAAUCAGAUCACCACUCAAUGAGAGUCUUGAAAAUGUUAGCUUCUCGGGGACCCCUGGGUGGCUCAGCAGUUUAGCAUCUGCCUUCGGCCCAGGGCGUGAUCCUGGAGUCCUGCGAUGGAGUCCUGCAUCGGGCUACCUGCAUGGAGCCUGCUUCUCCCUCUGCCUAUGUCUCUGCCUCUCUUUCCCUAUCUCUCAUGAAUAAACAAAAUCUUUUAAAAAAGAAACUGUUAGCUUCUCUUAGGUCCAGGACAGAUACUGCAGUUCACCUAGCAAGACUUCCUGCUUCAAGGAAGAGAUACUUGAAAUGACUUCUGUUACACAAAGGUGGGGCUAGGGACGCCUGCCUUCAGCCCAGGGUGUGAUCCUGCGGUCCCAGGAUCGGUCCCAGGAUCAAAUCCCAUAUCGGGCUCCCUGCAUGGAGCCUGCUUCUCCUCCCUCUGCCUGUGUCUCUGCCUCUUUCUCUCUGUCUCUCUCAUGAAUAAAAUCUUAAAAAAAAAAAAAAAAAAAAGGUGGGGCUCAAGGUAAAUCCUCUUGUAAUGGUUCUUCCAUUACAACAGUGUGGUCCCAAGAACAUCUAUCCUGCCCCCAUUCUGAGAAGACAAGAUAUUUUGUGCUUGUGAUGCCCCUGAAAAGGAGCAUCACACCUGCUAGUGAGGUGGCCCACAAAAAGGUAAGAGGCUCUGAGUCCAUGACUUGGCUUUUGCCAUGGGAAGUGGCAGGAAGGUGGUUUUAGGAGCCUGGGUGCAGAGCAUCCUUAGCCAAGCUUGGCAGUGAGGGAGCCAGCUCCUUCUCCCUCAAUGAACUUCAGUGGCUCAAGCCAGAUGGACAGGCAAGGACAUCAAAGAAGGAAGCUGUGAGCAGGUCAGCUCCCACAACUGCUCAGGACCAGUCUUCAACAGCGACACCACAUGGUGGCAGGGACUCGCCAGGUGGACUCAUUCAUUCAGAAAGGAAAGGCAACUGUGCCUCCUUAGACACCUACACCCCCAGAAGUUGGGCAAUUCAAAGGCGAGGUGAUUGGACUUAUCCCAAUAAAGUAUGUGAGGGCUUUGAUGAUUAAUAGGAAAAAUGAAUACGAGCAAACCACUACCCCACUUUGACCAAUUUGUUUACUCUGAAUUUAACAUCUGGUGGGAAAUUUUUGAAAACACUCAUAUAUUAACUCAUUCAACCUUUUCGAUGAUCUCAGAAGUACCAAGAGAUGGGCUUCAGAGUCCUGCUUGGCUUUGCAGCAAGUCCUAUUUUUUCUAAAAGUGAAAAAAAUUUCAAUUGGUUUUGAAUAGUCCCCAUAUCACUGCUUUUAGGAAUGGCUCCAAAGACAGACCAGAGAACUUCAAAUAACUUUACUGUGUCUUCAAGUAGCGGGAUAGGACACAAAGGCAUAUUAAGAGGCACAAAGCCUGCUCCUGAGAAGCCAAGCACUGGAAAUAGGUUGGGGGCCCAGUAUAUUGUUUGAGCAGGACCGGAACACCAGAGGACAAAGCCACUCUGGAGACAGCAGGACUAAGAAAGAUGUUUAACAGCAUUUUGACUGACAUCAUUUCCAUAUGUUCAUAUCCUUUGCCCCAGUAUUUCACAACUUCUAGAAAUGUAUCCAAAGCAAGCAAUCAGAUCCAGACAAAUGUGUGCAUACGGGCAAGUUGACAGCGGCAUCAUUUACAAGGGCAAACGACUGGAAACAACCCAAGUGUUCAGUAAAAGGUGAGGAUGUAAAUAAAUUAGGGGUCGACUCACAAACAGGAAGGUUAUGGACAGGAAGGGACCACAGGAUUCUGUAAUUCCACCUGGGUAGUGGUCUUAUGGGUGUAUGCAACAUGUAGAAAUUUCACAAAGCUGGACAUUAUACUUCAAAAAUACGUAAAUAAAAGAUUUAGACAGCCAGAUGACAGAUAAUCUCAGGCACUGAAAUCAGUAUUGAACAACAUGGAAUGCUCCCAACUUCAUAUUACAUGUUAAAAUGCAGUAUAUAAUCCAUAUAUACAUUACAAUCUUAAUUUUGGUUUUAUUAAAUCUAUACUUCAUGCACCCAAUGCACAGAAAAAAUACUGGAAGGAAAGAAGCCAAAAUUUUUAUAGUAGUUAUCUCUGACAGGCAGGAUAACAGGUGAUCUUUUUUCUGAUACUUGUCCCUGAAGUUUCGCAUUUUCUAGAAUGAACAUGGAGUGCCUCCUCCUCACCUCAUCCAGUGCUUGGGUUAUUCUGACCUCUAGUAGCCUUUAGUUAUCAUCUUCUGAUUUGGAUACUGCUAAUCUGAAGCGUGCCCAUAAUCUCCAAAAUCCUGAACAUGGAUUUGCCUAUGAUGGAUGUCCAUCUAAAUCCUAAUAGACUAUGUUUUCCCUACUGCCCUGGUUUUGUAUUAUUCUUAGUAAAAAAGAAAAUAACAUUGAGUACCUACCAUGUGUCAGGUUGCACACUGAGGGCUUUACCUGACGACCAAGAUGAACCCCACUGGGCAGUCAGGCCCUUGUGUCAGCCUCUCCCCUUGACUCUGGGGGAAGGGGCCUACAAUUUGCUUUAGAGGAUGCAGGAGAACCAUGCCCUACCUGGUCCAGGUUGAAGCUUUAAGAAGGCCUAGCAGUUAACACCCAACCCAGCAAAUCCACCCCUAUCAAUCUCGCCAAGAAAACUGAAAACCUACACUCAUAGAUUUGUACAGGUUUAAGUCCCCAGCAGGACUAUUGAUAGGUGCAAAGUACAAACACCAAAUGUCCAUCAACUGGUGAACAGAUUGAUGAAAUGUAUGUCCAUAAGCUGGAAUAUUAGCCAUAAAAAGGCACGAGAAGAAAUGAAAAAGAGGCAGCAGCAGCAGGGUGGCAUCCACCUUUGCAGAUCUGGGAACACGGAGCUGCCACGUCAGAAUAUAGGGACUCAACCAGUGGUAGUGGCCCAAGGCCUCUGUGAAGAACAAGGUUCCCAGUGAGAGACAACACUGACGCCCACAUGCCUAAUCCUAGCAGGCUGGGACACCCUAGGCGAGGUGCCAGGCGUGUGAUCUGAGAAGCCCUCGGAGCCCAGAGCCAGCCCCACUGUGCCCCAUCCUAUUUCCUGCCCACAGAACUGUGACUCAAUAAUAGAGGGUUUAAGCCACUGAGUACUGGGGUCAUUUGUUACUCAGUGCUAGCUAACAGAGACACAGUUGCUAAUGGAAUCCUCAAGUGACACACAAGGAAGGAAGACUCUGAGGUCAGCAGUGAAGAGACACACAGUCAUGACCCCUUCACCCCAAAUGGUGCAGCUGGGAUUUCAGGCUGGAUCUUUCUAAUGCCAAACCAUGCCCUCUGGCCCUCAUGGCUCCUUAACUCCCAGGCACCUCCCGCCUGUUUAUCUUUGGCCACGUGUCUCCUGUUUCUGUCCUCUCCUGAACCUGUGCCCUGUCCCAAUCUUGCCUGCUGACAGUUCUCUCCUCCGAUCUGCAGCACACACAUGUCCAGAUGCUCUGAUGCUGACAUCUUUGUGUGUGUUUCUUCUUUCCUGACUACAAGGGUAACAGAUGUUUGGUGCAGACAAUCAGUCAAGUACAACAAAGCAUAAGAUUCAAAACCCACCGCCUGAUAGCCUCCAAAAUGAUUCCUCAGCGUUUCCCAGAGGGUAAUUCAAAACAAC